rnacentral:lncRNA from 1 species
AGAGAGAGCACUACUCAAAUCCAAAUAUUGUUAAAGUUGGAUGAAACAUAAAUUACAUUGAAGUUUUUAUUUGUGAACAAGUGGACUCAACAAUGCCAAAAGGGCUCGUGAGAGAACCAUCAAAUCUGGCAUUGAUUUACGUUAUUAAGAAACAGAAACCUCGUCCAACGGUCCAUAAACUAAUUGUUAACACAUUCUUUACUAAU